UACGAAGGGGGCUAGCGUUGCUCGGAAUCACUGGGCGUAAAGCGCACGUAGGCGGACUCUUAAGUCGGUGGUGAAAUCCUGGAGCUCAACUCCAGAACUGCCUUCGAUACUGGGAGUCUCGAGUUCGGGAGAGGUGAGUGGAACUGCGAGUGUAGAGGUGAAAUUCGUAGAUAUUCGCAAGAACACCAGUGGCGAAGGCGGCUCACUGGCCCGAUACCGACGCUGAGGUGCGAAAGCGUGGGGAGCAAACAGG
rnacentral:rRNA from 1 species